ACAGGCACACGCUGAGACGCAUCCUCUGAUUCCCCAUCCUCUCAGCUAGGUUCUCCGGAUGUAGCCGCCGUGCACAGGGAGCACCACCGUCCACCGGAGCUUGUCGCCCGCUGUCUCGCGGAGCAACCGCCGGAGAUGCCCGCGCGGCCGCGCCCCGCGUGAUCUCGCCUAGCCCUCGCCGCCUCGCCCCUGCCAGGCUCCCUCACGCCGUCGCCCGGUCGCGCCGCCCACUCGCCCAGGCGCCCACGACCCACUAUCUCGUGGUUCGCGAAGCUACCGCCUCGCCCCUGGCCACGGCGAUGCCCGCCGGAAUCUUGCGGCUGUUCUCCUCCAACUCCAAUCCCCGGCUGUUCUGCUCCAACCCCCUGCCGCAUCACUGCAUCAGUGCAUCCCACUUCACAGUUCACACACCGCACCAACCAGCAGGGCAACAGGGGAAGAGGCAGCAGGCGGGCAGAGGUAGUCAUGGGCAAGGAAAAUCGGACUCAGAAAAGAAUUGAUUUGGUGUUUAAAAGGAAAAGAGAUGAUACAAUUGAAGUUGAGGAAGACCAAGUAUUGCCCUUGCUUGAAUUGGAACAGCAACAACCUGAACAACAACAUAACCAAGAUGGAGGAGUUCGAACAAAUGAAGUUGUUACAUUUCGGGGUAUUGAGUUCUUGCAGCGGGAUCCUGGAUUGCGCCCUCAAAUUUGGCAAUAUCCACCAGACCAGAGAGAUAUCGUCAGGAGAGCAUAUUUGAUGUUAGGUCCUAUGCAACCCCGUCUAGAGAACUAUAAACCUUCUGGUGAACUAGGGCAUCAACGCCGCUUCCAAUAUAGUUGGUUUGGUGAUUUUCCGUCAUGGCUAGAGUAUUCAGAGGAGAAAAGUUGUGUGUAUUGUCUAUAUUGCUUUGUCUCCAAUAACAAAGAGAAUACACGAGGUGGUUCUCAUGUGUUCACGGUACAUGGAUUUGACAGUUGGAAGAGGGUUUGUGGGAAACAUUGUGCAUUCUUGACCCACAUAGGAUCUGGACCAUGCUCACCACACAACAAUGCAGUCACUAGUGGUCAUGCCUUAAUGAAACAACCAUGCCACAUAGAGAAUGUUAUGGCUGUGAGGGACAAGGAGAAGGUGGAAAGAAAUCGUUUGCGGCUGAAAGUCUCAAUUGCGGUUGUUAAGUGGCUUGCAUUCCAAGCUUGUGCUUUUAGAGGGCAUGAUGAGAGACCACAGUCAAAGAAUCAAGGAAACUUUCUUGAAAUGGUGAAGCUUCUUGCAGAAUUUAAUCCUGAGAUUGCCAAAGUUGUGUUGGGAAAUGCUCCAUACGGCGCAAAAUACACAUCACAUGAUAUCCAGAAUGAGAUCUUGAGUAUAUUUGCAUCUAAAAUCAGGAAGCAUAUUCGUGAGGAAGUUGGAGAUUAUAAGUAUUCUAUUUUAGUGGAUGAAAUGUGUGAUGCAUCAAAGAGAGAGCAAAUGGCUUUGGUUCUUAGGUUUGCUGAUAAAGGUGGUAUUUUGCAAGAGAGAUUCUUUGAUUUGAUACAUGUAGCGAACACGAGGUCUUUGACACUGAAAAAUGAGUUGAGCUUUGUUUUGUCAAACAACGGUUUUGAUAUUCAGAACCUUCGAGGACAAGGUUAUGACGGCGCUAGUAAUAUGAGAGGCGAGUUAAAUGGAUUGCAAGCUCUUUUCCUCCACGAAUGCCCAUAUGCUUAUUAUGUCCAUUGUUAUGCCCAUCGCUUGCAACUUGCUCUAGUUGAUGCAUCUAAAGAAGUGGUUCCUAUCUCCCAGUUCUUUCAGAAAUUGAUCUUUAUCAUAAACACGGUUGACUCAUCUUCAAAGCGCCAUGAUGAGCUUCAUCUUGCCCAACUAGUUGAACUAGAAAAUGGAAUCUCUAAUGCUAGCAUCGAGACAGGUCAAGGGGCAAAUCAAAUCCGCUCACUUAAGCGACCAGGAGACACAAGGUGGGGUUCUCAUUUUGGUUCAGUUUAUAGCCUUAUGAAGAUGUUUGGUCCAGUUUGUUCAGUUAUCCAAGAUAUAGCCGCCGAUGGAUCAAUUGGCUCAAUUCGUGCAGAUGCAGACACUUCUUUUGGCUACUUGUCCUCAUUUGAGUUCAUUUUUAUCUUAUGUUUGAUGAAGGAAAUCUUUGAAAUAACAGAAUUGCUUGGCCAAGCUUUACAAAAGAAAUCACAAGAUAUUGUGAAUGCUGUCCGCCUAGUUUCCUCAACAAAACAAUGUCUUCAGGAGUUGAGAUCAGAUGAUGGCUACCAAGUAUUUAUUACUACGGUUGUUGAAUUUUGUGUAAACCAUUCCAUUGACAUUCCAGACUUUGAGGAAACAUACAUCAUGCGUGGUGGUCGUGCUCGUCGUCAACCUGAUCAGUUCACCAAGGAGCAUUACUUUCGAGUGGAAAUUUUCUUCUCAACACUGGACACUCAACUAUUUGAAUUAAGCCGAAGAUUCAAUGAUAAGAUGCUUCCAAGGAUGAUGAUUUGAAAAACAUAUCUACCUUAAUUGAUCUAUGUCGAUGCCUUGUGGAGACAGGAAGACAUACCGUCUACAAUUUGAUUGACAGAUUACUUCGGUUGCUCGUUACCCUUCCAGUUUCUACAGCCAGUGCUGAACGCGCAUUUUCUAGUAUGAAGAUCAUUAAGACAAAAUUGCGCAAUAAGAUGGAAGAUGAGAAUCUGGCUAAUAACUUGUUAGUACACAUAGAGGGUGGAAUUCUGGAGAACUACAGUCAUGAAGAUGCCAUUGCAGAUUUUAUAAGCACGAAGGAUCGGAGAGUUGAUUUCUAGUAUGUGAGUAAGUCCAUGUCUAAUGUCUCGACACUUUUGUAUUAGCUAAAUCAAUAGUGACUCAUGGUUGAACUGUACUUUGAUACAUAUAUAUUAUAUAUAUACAUAUUUGCUAGC
rnacentral:rRNA from 1 species